ACAAAUAGGCAUUGAUAUUCAUUUUCACGUGGGCUCCUUCAUGUGGAACAAAAAGGCCCUCCAUCUUUUACUUUUCAAGUAGAAGUCGUUUGGCCAGAUUAGUGUCUGCAAGUCCCUGGGCAUUUAUUCCCUGGUGUUGCUGUAAGGUUUUUACUGAUGACCAGAGUUGCUCAAUCCUCACUUAAUGGGGGCUGCAGACUGAGGGCUGAGCAGAACCCGCUGUCCCGUUCUGUAGUUAUUGGUAAAGACAGACCUAGGAUAUCACCAUGGGAGGGACUGGAUGCGACCCAGUGGGUGGGUGUGGUCGCUGUGGACGGAAGAUCAAAAGAUCAAAACACCAGGGGGUUAUAAACGGAAAUUUCCAAGAAUUAAGUCAGGAGAGAAUCUCAAUCCUAAGGGAGGAUGAUAGUGAUGCAGGAACUAGAAACAUUGAGAUGUGUAGGGUAAAGAAGGGUCCAGCAGUGACAGCAAAAAUGAGGAGUUACAAGUGUUAUCCUUUUAUGACAUGAUCUUCAAAGCUGGCAGGUUUCGGAGAAAAGAGAAGGAGAAUGGUCUAAAAGUGGAAAGGAGGAAGAAGAAAGGGCUAUGAGGUCUACAGGAGAAGAGCCCUUUUCCACUUGUAAUCUCUGCUGGAAGAGGAGGUGUGUGUUGUCUGUCUCGACCCUUAUGGAUGGAAGAGAAACUUCGGGGGAAGCCUGACAUAUUCCAUACAACCAGACCUUUGCAGUCCUGAUGACACGGAUAGAAGUCUUAUGUAGGCAAGGCCUUGUUCCAGUGCUCUGGUCCAUUUAACACUGGGAUAUUACACUCUAGUGCCAGAAUGGUCCAGAAUUUGAGUUUUUUGGUUUUUGUUUUUGUUUUUUUUUUUUUUUUUUUUUAAUUUGCAGGGACAUAAAAUAUUUAAUGGAUGAAGAAUCUAAGAAAACUUCAAGUUCAACUCCUCAGUUUCACAAGACAAAACUGAGGCUGAGGAGGUUUGAGAGCCUCUGCUGAGUUUUUUUCUAACGAUAAUGAGGAUUAUAACUCCGAUACUCUGACAUCUAAGUACCAACCACACUGUGCUGAUGCUUAGAUGUUCAUAGUUUUAAUUAGAAAACAAAACAAAACAAAUCUUUCCCACUCAGAAAAUAUACAGAUUCUUUACUGCUCAAAUUAAAAGUUUUCUUUUAAAACUUGUGUCUUGAGAACAGGAAUAAAGAGUUUGCUGUGA